AAUCAACGCUGGCGGCGUGCCUAACACAUGCAAGUCGAACGCGAAAGCCCCGCAAGGGGUAAGUAGAGUGGCAAACGGGUGAGUAACACGUGGGUGACCUGCCUUCGAGUGGGGGAUAACGUCCAGAAAGGGACGCUAAUACCGCAUGACAUCCUGCUUUUGAAAAAGCGGAGAUCAAAGCUGGGGAUCGCAAGACCUAGCGCUUGAAGAGGGGCCCGCGCCUGAUUAGCUAGUUGGUGAGGUAACGGCUCACCAAGGCGACGAUCAGUAUCCGGCCUGAGAGGGCGGACGGACACACUGGGACUGAGACACGGCCCAGACUCCUACGGGAGGCAGCAGUGGGGAAUUGUUCGCAAUGGGCGCAAGCCUGACGACGCAACGCCGCGUGGAGGACGAAGAUCUUCGGGUCGUAAACUCCUGUCGAGCGGGACGAACGCUUCGCGGAUGAAUAAUCCGCGGAAUUGACGGUACCGCUAAAGGAAGCCCCGGCUAACUCCGUG
rnacentral:rRNA from 1 species